rnacentral:lncRNA from 14 species
GCACUGCGGCGCGGAGCGGCGCCAUUUUGAGGAAGGGAGGCGAGCGCGCGGUGUGUGCGCGCGCGCGUGGGGAGGCGGGGGGGCACUCGGAGCAGCCCGGGACAGCCCCGGGACAGCCCCGGGAACAGGCGCGGAGCGGACACAGAGCAGCUGGGCCGCCCCGCUCCUUGCCCCACCGUGUUGCCCGGACCGCCCUCGGGGACGACACGGAGAGCCGCCCCCGGGCGGCCGCCGGGAGGGCCGAGCACGGGUGCUCAGCGGAGCCGCAGGGGGAGGUCGUGGACCCCGAGAGGCGGGGCUCUGUGUGCCCGCACACCCGAGAACCGGGGUCUGUGUGCCCGCACACCCGAGAGCCGGGGCUCUCUGUGCCCGCACACCCCGGAGCGGGCGGCCUGUGUCCGCCCACCCCGGCAGCGGGUCUGUCUCCACAGCCCGGGAAAGGAAGCAUGCCCCGGGCCGCGCUGGGGCUCCCCCGGCGGCUCCCGCCGCCCCUCCGGGAAAUGUCCCUGGCCCAGGUUGCUUGAACGAUAGAGUCAGUCCUGGAUGUUUGUAGCCUUUUGCUUCAGCUGGCAGAGAAGAGGUGAACACUGACCUGCAGCAGUUCUUCCUGUGAAAGGAAGAAAUAUCGGACACUGUUCUGGGAUAAUUUGUGCGUGCUUUGUCCAGAAAAUGCCCCUCAAACAAGCAGUAGACAUCUGGGAAGAGAACUGAGGAAAUCGUGAGGUUUUUUCUUCUAGCAGUGUCGAGCACAUCACCCUUGGAUUCUUUUGUCCGCAUGGCAUGGAUACAUAGCUAAAUUAAUGAAGUUCUGAAUACUUCAGCUGCAAAAAUAAAGUGCUUUCCUUUUUUACGUACUCCUUUUACUUCUCAGCAACAUUCUUUCUGAGUCAGAGGCUUAACCAGUUUUGUUAACUAGCUGCAGGUUAAAUGUGGCCUGAGUCACUGUGGGGACAUUGCUGAAAAGUUUCAUGGCAGAUUUUUUUCUCCCCCUUAUUUCAUUUUUUAGAUUUUCUGACACAGUCUUCUCUCAUUUUGCAGUGAGACUGAUUUUAUAAAUGAAGAAUUUAAUAGAUGUUUGUUUAUACUUUUUUCUUUUGUAUUUUAUUUAAUAUUUUUCUUGAAAAAUGUUGUUGCUCAUAAGCAGUAUGGAGGUAUCCAGAUAACUGUUUACAAAUGCCUGUGCUGCCGGAAGGUAGGAAAUGUUCUUCAGUUCAUAUGUGAAAUUUGGGUUUUUGACAUCACAGUCUGUGGAGUAAAAACUGUAUUUAUUUCACUUGGAGCUGAUGCUGCAUAUAGUGGUAUCUACAUGCAAUAGACAAGAGAAGAAACUGUCAGAGAAAAGAAAAGGCUUUUAAGACAGACAUUGGCAGACUUUGUAAAUAGCCUUGCAGAAUCUGUAAGAGAGAAGGAUAGGUAGCUGAUUUCUGAGAGGUCAAAUCUAUGUCAAACUGCCACGAAUGUAGUAUCCACAGGAACUCGGGAUAUUAUCUCAAGGAAAACAAACUGGAAAAAUAUAAAUCACGCAGUACUAGCACCUUGUGUGGUCCUCUUGGAUUAGGUAAGUGUUGUAGUGUUCACAAAUCAAUUUUCACUUGAAAAAACAUUUUAUCGGUAGAAUAGUUAAACCUGUAAUUUUUACUGGUUAGAGGUUCUUUGGUGGUUGUUUUUUGUUUUGUUUUGUUUUUUGAGAAUGUUGAAUGUUGAAGUUUGUUGAUUUUUACUUGCUGGCCUUUAUAAUGGAAUAAUUCCUUAAGACUUUGAAGAAUACAGCUACAAGGAGAAAUGUGUAGAUAAGAGUGUGAUUUUUAUGUGGGAUUAAAAAGUAGCUAUAUCUAGACUAAAUCCAUAAGGAAUUUAGCCUUUAUGUUAGUGUUGUAGUCUCAAGAGUAAAUGUUAUAUCUUUUUGACCAAAUCUUCUGGAUAGCUUGCAUGUGCCAUUCCUUCCAUUUGUGUUAGAUGUGUUUGCAGUAUCAGGCUAGUAAUAAUACAGAGGGGUUUUCAUGCUUUUUUUUUCCUUUCCACUAUUCUUUGUCACAUAUGAAAGCCAGAGGGUUUUUUUACCAAAAACUAUUUUACUGACUAUGCAGACUAGCUUUUAUCUGUGUUGAUAUUGUAAGAUUGACUUCAGUGUGUUUUCCUGUUCUGUAAUGGCAGUGAAUUGGACUGACUGGUCUGCAAGUGUAGCACUUCAAAAAGAGCUCCUUUUCCUUGGAAUGAUACAAAAUUAAAUCUAGUGGUGAAUUGGCUUAUCUUCCUAGUUAUUUUUAGAUGUAUUGUAGCUUUCUUCAUCCCACAGUGAUUAAAUUUUUUUUUAAUUUUGGCAUUAAUGUG